CACCACUCCAGCCUCGCUGGGCCUUGGGCGCCGCUGCUCCGUCGGCGCGCCCCAAUGUCUCCGGCUGAGCCGUCCGUCUCAAAGCGUUGUGGCAACUCAAUCCGCUUGUGGGACCGGGGGGCUCGUCGCCGUCAAAACACACCAUUUUACCA
rnacentral:misc_RNA from 1 species